rnacentral:rRNA from 1 species
UACGUAGGGUGCAAGCGUUGUCCGGAAUUAUUGGGCGUAAAGGGCUCGUAGGCGGUCCAUCGCGUCGGGAGUGAAAAGCUGGGGCUUAACCCCAGUCCUGCUUCCGAUACGGGUGGACUAGAGGUAGGUAGGGGAGAUCGGAAUUCCUAGUGUAGCGGUGAAAUGCGCAGAUAUUAGGAGGAACACCGGUGGCGAAGGCGGAUCUCUGGGCCUUACCUGACGCUGAGACGCGAAAGCGUGGGGAGCGAACCGG